UACGUAGGGCGCAAGCGUUAUCCGGAAUUAUUGGGCGUAAAGAGCGCGCAGGCGGUCGUUCAAGUCGAGUGUGAAAGCCCCCGGCUCAACUGGGGAGGGUCAUUCGAUACUGAUCGACUCGAAGGCAGGAGAGGGAAGUGGAAUUCCCGGUGUAGUGGUGAAAUGCGUAGAUAUCGGGAGGAACACCAGUGGCGAAGGCGACUUCCUGGCCUGUUCUUGACGCUGAGGCGCGAAAGCGUGGGGAGCAAACAGG
rnacentral:rRNA from 1 species